rnacentral:rRNA from 1 species
GAUGAACGCUGGCGGCGUGCCUAAUACAUGCAAGUCGAGCGAAUGGAUUAAGAGCUUGCUCUUAUGAAGUUAGCGGCGGACGGGUGAGUAACACGUGGGUAACCUGCCCAUAAGACUGGGAUAACUCCGGGAAACCGGGGCUAAUACCGGAUAACAUUUUGAACCGCAUGGUUCGAAAUUGAAAGGCGGCUUCGGCUGUCACUUAUGGAUGGACCCGCGUCGCAUUAGCUAGUUGGUGAGGUAACGGCUCACCAAGGCAACGAUGCGUAGCCGACCUGAGAGGGUGAUCGGCCACACUGGGACUGAGAAACGGCCCAGACUCCUACGGGAGGCAGAAGUAGGGAAUCUUCCGCAAUGGACGAAAGUCUGACGGAGCAACGCCGCGUGAGUGAUGAAGGCUUUCGGGUCGUAAAACUCUGUUGUUAGGGAAGAACAAGCGCUAGUUGAAUAAGCUGGCACUUUGACGGUACCUAACCAGAAAGCCAUGGCUAACUACGUGCCAGCAGCCGCAGUAA